rnacentral:ncRNA from 1 species
AAAUUGAUUAAGAUAAAUUCACGUAUAACUCCAAUAAUAAGGUUUGGAGGUCUCUACCAGGAACCAUUAAUUCCUGAUUACGAAGAAGAUGCAAUUAUUU